rnacentral:rRNA from 1 species
UCGAACGCGAAAGUGGAGCAAUCCAUGAGUAGAGUGGCAAACGGGUGAGUAACACGUGGGUGACCUGCCUUCGAGCGGGGGAUAACGCUCCGAAAGGGACGCUAAUACCGCAUAACAUGCCGCCUUUUAACAGGUGGACAUCAAAGCUGGGGAUCGCAAGACCUAGCACUUGAAGAGGGGCCCGCGCCUGAUUAGCUAGUUGGUGGGGUAAUGGCUCACCAAGGCAACGAUCAGUAUCCGGCCUGAGAGGGCGGACGGACACACUGGGACUGAGACACGGCCCAGACUCCUACGGGAGGCAGCAGUGGGGAAUUGUUCGCAAUGGGCGCAAGCCUGACGACGCAACGCCGCGUGGAGGAUGAAGAUCUUCGGGUCGUAAACUCCUUUCGAUCGAGACGAACGGCUUCCGGGUGAACAAUCCGGAAGAGUGACGGUACCGAGAGAAGAAGCCCCGGCUAACUCCGUGCCAGCAGCCGCGGUAAUACGGGGGGGGCAAGCGUUGUUCGGAAUUACUGGGCGUAAAGGGCGCGUAGGUGGCCAACUAAGUCAGACGUGAAAUCCCUCGGCUUAACCGGGGAACUGCGUCUGAUACUGGAUGGCUUGAGUUUGGGAGAGGGACGCGGAAUUCCAGGUGUAGCGGUGAAAUGCGUAGAUAUCUGGAGGAACACCGGUGGCGAAGGCGGCGUCCUGGACCAAUACUGACACUGAAACGCGAAAGCCAGGGGAGCAAACGGGAUUAGAUACCCCGGUAGUCCUGGCCCUAAACGAUGAAUGCUUGGUGUGGCGGGUAUCGA